UGUAGUGCUCCACUGAACUUUCCACAUGGAGAUGUUGCCAACAUUGGAAGAUUCAUUUCCUGCACCGCCGCCAUAUUUUUUAUCAGAUGGUGCCCCAAAGAAAACUUCUGGCGUUUACAUAGUCAACCCCUGUGAUAAACGGCCUCAACAGCAAACUUCCAUUGGGCCACCUUCUGCAGACCCUGAUAAUCCUCUAGUAAGGAUCAGGGGACAUAAGACUGACCCAUGUCGAGCUCCAGCCCUGAUGACUUGCAGCUUCUGUCAAAGUCAGGUUACCACGGAGGUCACUUUCCGAGUGGGGACUUUUGCUUGGCUAAUGUGUUUCCUAUUUGUGCUUUGUGGGUUGAUUCUUGGUUGUUGCCUGAUUCCUUUUUUUAUAAACCACUUCAAGGAUGCCUGCCACAUAUGUCCACAUUGCCACCAUGUUCUUCAUGUGGAGAGGAGGACAUUCUUCAAAUGAUGACUCCUCAACCAGCGUGUUCAAGUCAAGUUUUAUGUUUGGUUGUGUAACAAAAAAUCCCUUCAGUAAAACUGCAAUAUUUAAAUAGAUUUUAAUCUCAUUUAAAAAAAAAAAUAUGAAUAAAUGUUUUUCUGUGACCUAGUCUUGGCUUUUUUUCAAAGAAAAAUAUAAACGGUACAUUUUUAUGGGUUUUGAUGUUGUACUUUUCCAUGACCAAGUUUGUUAGCCUGUCACCAGAUGUAAUUAUAAAAAGGAUUAAACAAUUUUCUAAUGAUUUUAAGCUUCUACCUGAAGUAGCUGUUGAAAAAAAGAAAUGAAUCGUUACACCGUCUGCCAUCGGAAGAUUGCAAAAUAGAACUGCUUCUGCAACCUUUAGGAUAAAC